AACGAACGCUGGCGGCGCGCCUAAUACAUGCAAGUCGAGCGAGAAGACGUAGCAAUACGUUUGUAAAGCGGCGAACGGGUGAGGAAUACAUGGGUAACCUACCCUCGAGUGGGGAAUAACUAGCCGAAAGGUUAGCUAAUACCGCAUACGACUCCUGGUCUGCGGAUCGGGAGGGAAAGCGAUACCGUGGGUAUCGCGCUCUUGGAUGGGCUCAUGUCCUAUCAGCUUGUUGGUGAGGUAAUGGCUCACCAAGGCUUCGACGGGUAGCUGGUCUGAGAGGACGAUCAGCCACACUGGCACUGCGACACGGGCCAGACUCCUACGGGAGGCAGCAGUAAGGAAUAUUGCGCAAUGGGCGAAAGCCUGACGCAGCAACGCCGCGUGAAGGAUGAAGGUGCUCUGCAUUGUAAACUUCUGUCGGCCGGGAAGAACCGGCGGGGUGCUAAUCAGCCCCGUCUUGACUGUACCG
rnacentral:rRNA from 1 species